GCCUACGGGAGGCAGCAGUGGGGAAUUUUGGACAAUGGGCGAAAGCCUGAUCCAGCAAUGCCGCGUGCAGGAAGAAGGCCUUCGGGUUGUAAACUGCUUUUGUACGGAACGAAAAGGUCUGCCCUAAUACGGCGGGCCCAUGACGGUACCGUAAGAAUAAGCACCGGCUAACUACGUGCCAGCA
rnacentral:rRNA from 1 species